rnacentral:rRNA from 1 species
GACAAACGCUGGCGGCGUGCUUAACACAUGCAAGUCGAACGAUGAACCCGGAGCUUGCUCCGGUGGAUUAGUGGCGAACGGGUGAGUAACACGUGAGUAACCUGCCCUUGACUCUGGGAUAACUGCGGGAAACUGUAGCUAAUACCGGAUACGACCCUCGGCGGCAUCGCCAGGGGGUGGAAAGAAUUUCGGUCAAGGAUGGACUCGCGGCCUAUCAGCUAGUUGGUGAGGUAACGGCUCACCAAGGCGACGACGGGUAGCCGGCCUGAGAGGGUGACCGGCCACACUGGGACUGAGACACGGCCCAGACUCCUACGGGAGGCAGCAGUGGGGAAUAUUGGACAAUGGGGGCAACCCUGAUCCAGCAAUGCCGCGUGUGUGAAGAAGGCCUUCGGGUUGUAAAGCACUUUUGUCCGGAAGAAACGCGCUGGGAUAACACCUCGGCGUAAUGACGGUACCUGAAGAAUAAGCACCGGCUAAC